UUUUUUUGGCCGGUCGACAGCACCGCGGACCGGAUAUCCCCCCAUGCUGGGCUCUUCUCCGGAGAGAGCCUGUGAUGGCCCUAAACUUCUGAUCUUGGAUAACCAACCGGACACUUAAAGUGGGCGUCAGUCAGAAGAGGACACCAGACCUCCUUAUGGAUGGUUGUGA